AAAUCCGUCGACUUUAUAAAUCGUGAG
rnacentral:tRNA from 1 species